rnacentral:rRNA from 1 species
AUUGAACGCUGGCGGCAUGCUUUACACAUGCAAGUCGAACGGUAACAGGCCGCAAGGUGCUGACGAGUGGCGAACGGGUGAGUAAUGCAUCGGAACGUGCCCAGUCGUGGGGGAUAACUACUCGAAAGAGUAGCUAAUACCGCAUACGAUCUAUGGAUGAAAGCGGGGGACCGUAAGGCCCCGCGCGAUUGGAGCGGCCGAUGUCAGAUUAGGUAGUUGGUGGGGUAAAGGCUCACCAAGCCAACGAUCUGUAGCUGGUCUGAGAGGACGAGCAGCCACACUGGGACUGAGACACGGCCCAGACUCCUACGGGAGGCAGCAGUGGGGAAUUUUGGACAAUGGGCGCAAGCCUGAUCCAGCAAUGCCGCGUGCAGGAAGAAGGCCUUCGGGUUGUAAACUGCUUUUGUACGGAACGAAACGGCUCUGGUUAAUACCCGGGGCUAAUGACGGUACCGUAAGAAUAAGCACCGGCUAACUACGUG